UUAAUGGUUGGACCUAAUCAGACCUUUCAGUAGAGGGCAAAGCCUACUAUUAGAAUCUUGGGUAAAAUUAAUUAUUAAAAAUAUUUAGUAAAAUAAUUGAUUAAGAACCUACCUAUAGAUGCACAUGGAUGAGCCGACCAAAGUUGGACUCAUGUGUAACUGUGUGGAUUCUAGUACCUACUAAAAAAUUAGGGUAAUUCUUUGAAUUGGAGGUAGAGGCUAUCAAUUUGACUAAAAUAGUGGGAGAUCCUUUAGGCUAAAGUUUAAGUCUUUAGGCUUAAUCAAUUCAUAAACAUAGAGAUCUUGC
rnacentral:lncRNA from 1 species